rnacentral:rRNA from 1 species
CAGUAGCCGCGGUAAUACGUAGGGUCCGAGCGUUGUCCGGAAUUAUUGGGCGUAAAGGGCUCGUAGGCGGUUUGUUGCGUCGGGAGUGAAAACCUACAGCUUAACUGUGGGCUUGCUUUCGAUACGGGCAGACUUGAGGCAUUCAGGGGAGAACGGAAUUCCUGGUGUAGCGGUGAAAUGCGCAGAUAUCAGGAGGAACACCGGUGGCGAAGGCGGUUCUCUGGGAAUGUUCUGACGCUGAGGAGCGAAAGUGUGGGGAGCGAACAGGAUUAGAUACCCCUGUAGUCCCUGUCUUUUAUAC